CAGCCCCGCCGCUGUCAGUCCUCCUGCCGCCGGCCCGUCGUGCCCUCUCCCCGUUGAGCUCCACGCCUGUGCUCUCGGUCCCUGGCGCACUCUGCUGCUGCUGGUGGACAAGCGUGAGUGUGUAGGAUGGAUGGGAUACGUGAGAUGGGACCAGGGAGCUGCAGAUGGAGACGCCACAGGAGGAGGCUGAUCUCUUGGUUGAUGGUCCCUAGGCAGCUGGGAAUCGUCCAAUCAGCUGUAGGAGGCGGAGCUGAGGAUUCUCCUGCUAUCAUCACAUUUGACAGCUGCUGCAGCAGCUCACAUGACCAAACAACAAUUACCUCAUACAUGUAGUACUCUUGCUGGAGGUGUUGCAUUGGAGAUAGCGCUCCCUGAGCUGGGCUGAGCAGGCGAGAAGCGAGGCCGCUGAAAUCAAAUGAACGGUGUGAUCUCUGAUGGAUGCACCUCACACUCAGAGUCCACUGAAACUCUCACCAUCCAUCACUGUGAUGCUUGUUCUCUCCUACAGCUGCUGCUGGUGCUUAAAUGAAAAGGUCAGUGAUCACAAGCCAAACAGCGACCAGCAGUUCACUAUAUCUUCUUUUACUGCCCAUCAUGGCAUUCGCACAGUCUGAUACUAUCUGCUCUUACUCUGAUAUACAGCAUCAAUCUGGAGCUACUAUACAGUAGAUGUGACAUCUGACAUGUCCAUCAGUGUUCCCAUGCAGUGUGAAAAAGGUGUCAUGCAAACCUUCAGAACUUUAUUUUAAAUGUAAAUUAAGAUAUGAUAAUUAUGUAAUAAUUCCAUCAGGACAUCUGACAUUAAUGUGGAAGUAUGCUCUUACCAUGUUGUCAUCUGAUGUGAGCAGCCCUCAAAAAUGUAUCUGGGAUGUGAAUAUUUCACUCACUGUCACAUCAUAUUUAUGAAAUGCAUGACAGGCCAGAGUUCAGAACAUGUGUAUGCUGUAGACCAGUGGUGUCAAACUCGUUCUAGUUCAGGGGCCACAUUCAGCCCAAUUUGAUCUCUAGUGGACUGGACCAGUAAAAUCACAACAUAAUAACCUUUAAAUAACUACAACUCCAAGUGUUUCCCUUUGUUUUAGUGCAAAAAAAAAGUACAUUCUGAAAAUGUUCACAUUUACAAAACAUUCAGAACAACCUGAAAUUUCUUAAGAAAAAUAAGUUCAAUUUAAACAAUAUUAUACCUCAGUUUAUCAUUCACACAUUACAAAUUACAGGUGACAGUGUAUCUACAAAGGCACGAAACAUUUAGUCUCAGGUAUCUGGAACUGAAUGAUGUAAUAUUUUACUUUAUGAUCAAAACAAACUUGUCAAGGUCUGGAAACGAUUUAAAAUUUACAUUCAUUUCCACAUCUGUGUAGUAAUCCUGACACUACAUCAUUCAAACUGAAGUGGGAACUAUUAAGGAAGAAGGUUAAGCUAUCUAACUGUCUUAUAAAUGUAUAAAAUGUAUACAUAAAGGUUGUGGUAGUGCAGUGGACAAAUUUAGAAUAUCAGUUACUUUUACUGAAGGAUUGCAGUUAACUUCUCUGUAAUUUUUACACUUUGCAAAGUCAUCCUGCAGGUCGGAUUGGACCCUCUACCAGGCUGGUUUUGUACUGCGGGCCAUAUGUUUGACAUCCUUGCUGUAGACGGUAGAAUUAAACAUUUUAUUUUUAGAAGGAAUUAGCUUUACUUCAGGAAAUGCAGGGCAUAUGGAAUUGGGUAAGAAGUAUUUUGGGAUUCUUGCACACACAGAUGAUGCAGUUCCUUUGGCUGGUUAUGUCAUUGUUGCAGUGAAUAAUAGCUCACCAUUCUUACAUAUUAUACCACUACAGGGAAUUAAAUCAGUGUUCAUUAUAAAUAUUGUCUGCUGCCUCAUGCGCUUGCAAAAAAAAAAAUGUAAAUAAAAGAUUUCCCAAAUGAAAAACAAAAACAUCAAGGAUCUUUUACUAAAACACAUCCUAAUUGUUGAAGUAAUACGCAAUACAGUAUGAAAUGAUUCAUCCUCAAACUGACCGAAAUCACACAACAAAUAAAGUCCAGUGAAGCAACAAAUUUAAACAACUGGUAACAGUUUACCUUCA